CUACGGGAGGCUCCAGUGAGGAAUAUUGCACAAUGGGGGGAGCCCUGAUGCAGCAACGCCGCGUGGAGGAUGACGCAUUUCGGUGUGUAAACUCCUUUUAUAUGUCAAGAAAAUGACGGUAGCAUAUGAGUAAGCACCGGCUAACUCCGUGCCAGCAGCCGCGGUAAUACGGAGGGUGCAAGCGUUACUCGGAAUCACUGGGCGUAAAGGACGCGUAGGCGGGUUGGAAAGUCAGGUGUGAAAUCCUACAGCUUAACUGUAGAACUGCACUUGAAACUUCUAAUCUAGAGUAUGGGAGGGGGAGAUGGAAUUAGUGGUGUAGGGGUAAAAUCCGUAGAUAUCACUAGGAAUACCUAAAGCGAAGGCGACCUCCUGGAACAUUACUGACGCUAAGGCGUGAAAGCGUGGGGAGCAAAUAGGAUUAGAUACCCCCGUAGUC
rnacentral:rRNA from 1 species